UUUUAGUGGGAGUUGGAGUGACACCCAUAGGAAACUGAAUACAUGGAUAAAACAUGCAAUACGUUAGACUUUAGUAAAUGCACAGGGAAAGCUCCCAUUUCAAAUUAGUUGGU